CUUUGUUUUAUGUAUCUUUCCUAUGUGAGGAAUCGCCAUCGCUAUCAUCUCUAUCAUCGCAGCUUGACAGUAUUGCCAGUGGCAAAUGUAAUAAGGAGUCUGUCAGAAUCCUGCUGCAUUGUACCUCAUAAGUGAUAAUCCAAAAUCCUUCUGUCCCUGUUUUCUAUCCAAAAGUCCCCCUUUUCUAGGAGUUCAAUAUUGUUAGUGUGUCUGAGAAAGUAAG